rnacentral:rRNA from 1 species
AUACGGAGGGUGCAAGCGUUACUCGGAAUCACUGGGCGUAAGGCGCGCGCAGGCGGCUAUUUAAGUUGGAUGUGAAAGCCUACGGCUCAACCGUAGAACUGCAUCCAAAACUAUUUAGCUAGAGUGUGGGAGAGGAAGAUGGAAUUAGUUGUGUAGGGGUAAAAUCCGUAGAGAUAACUAGGAAUACCAAAAGCGAAGGCAAUCUUCUGGAACACUACUGACGCUGAGGCGCGAAAGCGUGGGGAGCAAACGGGAUUAGAUACCCUAGUAGUCC